rnacentral:piRNA from 1 species
GCUGGAGAGAUGGCUCAGAGGAUAAGAG